rnacentral:rRNA from 1 species
UACGUAGGGGGCAAGCGUUGUCCGGAAUUAUUGGGCGUAAAGCGCGCGCAGGCGGUUAAUUAAGUUGGGUGUUUAAGCCCGGGGCUCAACCCCGGUUCGCAUCCAAAACUGGUUGACUUGAGUGUAGGAGAGGAAAGUGGAAUUCCAGGUGUAGCGGUGAAAUGCGUAGAUAUCUGGAGGAACACCGGUGGCGAAGGCGGCAUCCUGGACCAACAUUGACGCUGAGGAGCGAAAGCGUGGGGAGCAAACAGG